rnacentral:lncRNA from 1 species
GCUGCUUGCCAUAGGGCACCUUGAUAGGGGGCAGCUUGGUGACUGCUGCUACUAUGAAAUUCAUCAGGACGUCCACACAGUGUCCACCAGGCCCUCCUUGGAAGAAGCCACAAGUAAGCAUCAGGACACCCUUCACCUCAUGAAAAGCCACAGCAGAAGCCAACCAGGCUGUCUGGCCCAGGCAGCUGCCCGGCACUUCGGAGAAACUGAGGCUCAAACCACUCCAGAGAUGACAAGUCCUGUCACCUUCAGGGAGGCGGAGGCCAAAGACAAAACUUGAAGGUCAGAGUCCAAGGCUGCCAAGCUUCGCCCCUGGGAAAUAAAACUUAUCAAAAAUGCUA